rnacentral:rRNA from 1 species
GACGAACGCUGGCGGCGUGCUUAACACAUGCAAGUCGAACGGAAAGGCCUCUUUCGGGGGGUACUCGAGUGGCGAACGGGUGAGUAACACGUGAGUAACCUGCCCUUGACUUUGGGAUAACUUCAGGAAACUGGGGCUAAUACCGGAUAGGAGCUCCUGCUGCAUGGUGGGGGUUGGAAAGUUUCGGCGGUUGGGGGUGGACUCGCGGCUUAUCAGCUUGUUGGUGGGGGAGUGGCUUACCAAGGCUUUGACGGGUAGCCGGCCUGAGAGGGGGACCGGCCGCAUUGGGACUGAGAUACGGCCCAGACUCCUACGGGAGGCAGCAGUGGGGAAUAUUGCACAAUGGGUGGAAGCCUGAUGCAGCAACGCCGUGUGCGGGAUGACGGCCUUCGGGCUGUAAACCGCUUUCGCUCAUGACGAAGCUUUGUGUGACGGUAGUGGGUAAAGAAGCACCGGCUAACUACGUG